rnacentral:rRNA from 1 species
GAUGAACGCUGGCGGCGUGCUUAACACAUGCAAGUCGAACGAGAAGUGGAGACGGAAACCUUCGGGCGGAAGACUUUACUUCGAGUGGCGGACGGGUGAGUAACGCGUGGGUAACCUGCCUCAUACAGGGGGAUAACAGAUGGAAACGACUGUUAAUACCGCAUAAGACCACAGCACCGCAUGGUGCGGGGGUAAAAACUCCGGUGGUAUGAGAUGGACCCGCGUUCGAUUAGCCAGUUGGCGGGGUAACGGCCCACCAAAGCGACGAUCGAUAGCCGAUCUGAGAGGAUGACCGGCCACAUUGGGACUGAGACACGGCCCAAACUCCUACGGGAGGCAGCAGUGGGGAAUAUUGCACAAUGGGGGAAACCCUGAUGCAGCGACGCCGCGUGAGUGAAGAAGUAUUUCGGUAUGUAAAGCUCUAUCAGCAGGGAAGAAAAUGACAGUACCUGAGUAAGAAGCCCCGGCUAACUACGUG